AUGCGAUACGUAAUGUGAAUUGCAGAAUUCAGUGAAUCAUCGAAUCUUUGAACGCAUAUUGCGCUCUUUGGUAUUCCGAAGAGCAUGCUUGUUUGAGUAUCAGUAAACACCUCAAAGACUUCAAUUUGUUUUGAAUGGCUUUGGACUUGAGCAAUCCCAACACCAGUCUUUACGAUCGGUGGAGGGUUGCUUGAAAUGCAGGUGCAGCUGGACAUUCUCCUGAGCUAAAAGCAUAUUUAUUUAGUCCCGUCAAACGGAUUAUUACUUUUGCUGCAGCUAACAUAAAGGGAGUCUGACCGUAUUGGCUGACUGAUGCAGGAUUUCACAAGGGUCGGCAACGAUUCUUGUAAAACUCGAUCUCAAAUCAAGUAAGACUACCCGCUGAACUUAA
rnacentral:misc_RNA from 1 species